CUGGUUCGGUUCCCUUCAAUUCACGUAUAAAUCUUUCGUCUUUUAUUAAAGAUUUCCGUAGAGGGGAACAAUUAAUGAAUCAGACAAUAAGAUAGACAAAUUUUUGCGUGCCCAAUGAAAGUUGAGAC